UACGUAGGGCGCAAGCGUUGUCCGGAAUCAUUGGGCGUAAAGCGCGCGUAGGUGGCUUCGUAAGUCCGUUGUGAAAGUCAAAGGCUCAACCUUUGAAUGCCGAUGGAUACUGCGAAGCUAGAGUACGGAAGAGGCGAGUGGAAUUCCUGGUGUAGCGGUGGAAUGCGCAGAUAUCGUAAGGAAGACCAGUGGCGAAGGCGGGUCUCUGGACAGUUCCUGACGCUGAGGCACGAAGGCCAGGGGAGCAAACGGG
rnacentral:rRNA from 1 species